rnacentral:rRNA from 1 species
GGAGGGCAAGUCUGGUGCCAGCAGCCGCGGUAAUUCCAGCUCCAAUAGCGUAUAUUAAAGUUGUUGCAGUUAAAAAGCUCGUAGUUGGAUUUCUGUUAAUAAUUUAUAUAAAAUAUUUUGAUGAAUAUUUAUAUAAUAUUAACAUAAUUCAUAUUACUAUAUAUUUUAGUAUAUGAAAUUUUACUUUGAGAAAAUUAGAGUGCUUAAAGCAGGCAUAUGCCUUGAAUACUCCAGCAUGGAAUAAUAUUAAAGAUUUUUAUCUUUCUUAUUGGUUCUAAGAUAAGAAUAAUGAUUAAUAGGGACAGUUGGGGGCAUUUGUAUUUAACAGUCAGAGGUGAAAUUCUUAGAUUUGUUAAAGACAAACUAAUGCGAAAGCAUUUGCCAAGGAUGUUUUCAUUAAUCAAGAACGAAAGUUAGGGGAUCGAAGACGAUCAGAUACCGACGUAGUCUUAACCAUAAACUAUGCCAACUAGAGAUUGGAGGUUGUUCCUUACUCCUUC